UUAAUUGAAACCAAAAAUAGCGGUCUACUACUGUUAAUAGUAAAAAUGGAUAACUCAUCCCAAUUAAA
rnacentral:tRNA from 1 species